GGAUGUGAGGGUGAUCUGGCUGGCUAGGUAGGUGUCCCAUUCCUCCCUCACCGCUCUAUGUGCAUGCUCGUCAGUCCGGUUGAAGGAAACAACAUUCCCCAAAUAGAGGAGGACCAGUCUUCAGUCAAGAAUUUACAAGUAGCUGUGCUCUCCUGCUAGAACCUCCAAACAAGCUCUCAAUAUCCUAAAUCUUUUGAUAUUGCCUAAGUCUUUUAUGAACCAAAUAAAAUUCCAAGGAAAUUG
rnacentral:snRNA from 1 species